rnacentral:rRNA from 1 species
UACGUAGGGUGCGAGCGUUGUCCGGAAUUAUUGGGCGUAAAGAGCUUGUAGGCGGUUUGUCGCGUCUGCUGUGAAAAUCCGGGGCUCAACCCCGGACUUGCAGUGGGUACGGGCAGACUAGAGUGUGGUAGGGGAGACUGGAAUUCCUGGUGUAGCGGUGAAAUGCGCAGAUAUCAGGAGGAACACCGAUGGCGAAGGCAGGUCUCUGGGCCGCAACUGACGCUGAGGAGCGAAAGCAUGGGGAGCGAACAGG